rfam:Triticum aestivum genome assembly, contig: Triticum_aestivum_CS42_TGACv1_scaffold_500690_6BL
AUCCUACUCCCUCCGUACGGAAAUACUUGUCAUCAAAAUGGAUAAAAGGGGGAGUAUCUAGACAUAUUUUAGUUUUAGAUACAUCUCUUUUUAUUCAUUUUGGUAACAGGUAUUUUCGGACGGAGGGAGUACUAC